UGGGUAACCUGCCUCAAAGAGGGGAANAGCCUCCCGAAAGGGAGAUUAAUACCGCAUAAUAUGUUUUAG
rnacentral:rRNA from 1 species